rnacentral:lncRNA from 1 species
CGAUCGAUCGCGAGAAAGAAGCGGAAAAGGAAAAAAAAAAACUUAUCUCCCGUCGCCGCCUCCUCGCGAGCGCCCGCCGGACCGCCGGGUGCCGCCGCCAGCUCCGAGCGCUCACCCGCCGGAGCCGCGCCCCCUACCCCGCCACCUCCUCACGCGCGCCCGACGCUCGCCCUACCCCGCUGCUGCCGCCUCCUCGCAGCCGCCGGUGAGCCGGGUUUGCCGUCUGCUGGGGCCUUCUCCAACGCCGCCGCCGCCUCCUCGCGCGCAGCCUCUGGAGAUCUGGGGUCGCCGUCGGCCAGCUCCUCCUCGCGUGCGCCCGCCCGGGAUCUGUGGUGGCGAUAUGCCCCUGCCCGGCCUUGUCAGCUGAUAUGGCAUACAUUCCUCCAGGCUGCACUCACUUACACUUUUACUCUUAAUCCUGACAGCCGCAAUGUGUCUUGUGCAAAAGGAAGCAAGGCUGCAACUGAAACACGGUGA